rnacentral:lncRNA from 1 species
CAAUAUAUAGCCAGCAAAUCACCAAUUUCAAUUACUUUGUGCCUAGUCAUGAAAAUUCUUGGAAGCUCUUGGGGUUCAAUUCUUUUGAUCUAUUCUUUAGUCUGUUUUGCUAAGGCAGUAAUUUCUAGAGAAGAUUUAGAGUAACCUAAAUUUCUGGAUCCCUCUGGGUUUCUGGACUCUGUCUACUCUGAUGAUAACCUCCGUUCUCUCAUGGAAGUCAGAAGUCUGCAAAGCCUUACAGAGGACCCUAAGGACACUUAAUGUGAAAUCUUUCUUUGGAGGCAUCUUCUUCAGGAAAAACUUUACCUCCUAAAUGUCAGGGGCUUUAUUACUAACUGUGCUGAAGGCCUGGGAUGAUAACGAUUUUUGUUGCUUAUCUUCCACAUUUCAUGAUAUUCUCUUAUGUC